CCAUUCCCUUUUCCUUUCGAAACAGAACUAGGGCAUAAAAACAAAGCUUUCUCUUUCCCUUUAGAAACACACCAGCAGCGUCAUUUUCACUUCAAGCAAAAAACACACAGCAGCGCCAUUUUCCCUUUCCCUUUAGAAGCACACCAGCAGUGCCAUUUUCCCUUUCCCUUUAGAAGCACACCAGCAGCGUCAUUCCCUUUAGAAGCACACCAGCAGUGCCAUUUUCCCUUUCCCUUUAGAAGCACACCAGCAGCACCAUUCUACCCAUUCGCCGGUGUCAUAGAAGAACCAGUUUGUUGAGACGAGUAUUAGGUUUGUCCGGGUCUUAUUUUGGGGCCGAUUCUACAGUCCUAUGCAAAUGCAAGCACUUUGGUUCUGCUUAAACAUUUCAAAGGAGGAAGUGACUGCGUAGAAAACACAAAGUGGAUGAUGGUAGACGUACGGGAUGUAGCAGAAGCACUGCUUCUGGGAUAUGAAAAGGCUGAGGCUCAAGGAAGAUAUAUAUGCACGGCUCAUGAUAUCAACACACAUGAUCUAGUGGAUAAGCUGAGGAGUAUAUACCCUCAUAAUGACUAUCCCAACAAGUUUGUUGAUGUGGAGGAAGAAAUAAAUCUUAGUUCCAGAAAGUUGCAGAGGUUGGGUUGGAGGUACAGGUCAUUGGAUGAAACUCUUAUUGAUUCUCUGAAAAUCUAUCAGCAUGCUGGACUUUUGGAUUAAGAUAAAGGGGAGGACUGCUUUAGCAUUAUUAUUAAACUGUUUACUUUUCCAUUUUUAAAUGACUGGUAAUAGUCAAGGACAUCUAGAACUAGUACUGUACUGCUGUGUUGUUGAUAUGUUUUUGUUUGGUCAGUGGAUCCUAUAUGUAAUAGUUAUACAUAACGAGCUAGUUGCUUUUAAUUAUAAAAUAUAUCAAUAUAAGUAAUUGUAACGCGGGUUGUUUGAUUAAUUCCUGGAAUCUAUCCUACAGUUAGAGGAAUUACGAGA